CCUACGGGUGGCAGCAGUGGGGAAUAUUGGACAAUGGGGGCAACCCUGAUCCAGCCAUGCCGCUUGUGUGAAGAAGGCCCUCGGGUUGUAAAGCACUUUCAGUGAGGAAGAACGCCUGGUGGUUAAUACCCAUCAGGAAAGACAUCACUCACAGAAGAAGCACCGGCUAACUCCGUGCCAGCAGCCGCGGUAAUACGGAGGGUGCGAGCGUUAAUCGGAAUUACUGGGCGUAAAGCGCGCGUAGGUGGCUUGAUAAGCCGGUUGUGAAAGCCCCGGGCUCAACCUGGGAAAGGCAUCCGGAACUGUCAAGCUAGAGUGCAGGAGAGGAAGGUAGAAUUCCCGGUGUAGCGGUGAAAUGCGUAGAGAUCGGGAGGAAUACCAGUGGCGAAGGCGGCCUUCUGGACUGACACUGACACUGAGGUGCGAAAGCGUGGGUAGCAAACAGGAUUAGAUACCCCUGUAGUC
rnacentral:rRNA from 1 species